rnacentral:lncRNA from 1 species
AUUAGGGCAGCGAGCUGGCAGAGUUGGUAGCACACCAGACGAAAUGCUUUGCAGCAUUUCGUCCAUCUUUACGUUGAGGGUUUCAAAUUCCGCCGAGGUUGAGUUUGCCCUUUCAUCCUUUCGGGGGGGGGGUCAACAAAAUAAGUACAGAUGAGGUUGAUGUAAUUGACUGGCCCCUCCCCUCAAUUUAUUGACCUUGUGCCUAUGAUAGAAAAAGAGUAUUAUUAUCAUUCGACUAAAACAAUUCUUCGACGUGGUGCCCCAGCAUGGCCGGAGUCCAAUGACUGAAACAAGUAAAAGAUAAAAGAUUAUUGGCAAACUGGCUGACCGUUAGCUGACCGGCCGGACAAAAUGCUUCGUGGCAUUUCUUCCGGCUUAGAAAUCUGAUUCUUGCCAGGGUCGGACUUUACCUUUCAUUCAUAACAGAGUUGAUUGAAUAAAGGAACCGGUCAAGUGUGUGGGGGUGGGGUGGAGGUGGUCGUGUUGGAGUGUUGAUGAUGAAGAUGGUGGUGGUAAUGAUGAUGAUGAGGGAGAUGAUGACGAUGAUAAUGAUGAUGAGGUGGUGAUGGUGAUGACGGUGGAGAAGUUGAUGAAGACGAUAGUCAUGACGAAGAUGAUGUGGUGGUGAUGGUGACAAAUGAUGAUGAUGAUGGUGGUGGUGGUGGUGAUGACGGUGGAGAAGUUGAUGAAGAUGAUUGUGACGAUGAUGACAAUGAUGAUGUGGUGAUGAGAUGGUGAGGGUGAUGACGGUGGAGAAGUUGAUGAAGACGAUGGUGAUGACGAUGUUGAUUACGACAAUGAUGAUGAUGAUGUGGUGAUGAUGGUGGUGGUGAUGGUGGAGAUGAUGCUGACAAUGAUGAUGAUGAUGGUGGUGGUGGUGGUGAUGAAGACGAUGAUUAUGACAAUGAUGAUGAUGACGAUGAUAAGAACUUAACUAUAAUGUUAUGACAUUUAGAGCAAAAGCACAAAAGAAAAAUCAAAGAAUCAGAUUCUUUUUUUUUGUUUUUCGGAUGGAAUUCAAACGGGGAGAAUAAAAAAAAAUAAGAAAAAUAAAUAAGAAGCAAAAAUAAUAGAAAAUAAAACGAAAAAGAAAGCAAAAAAUCCGACUUUGUUUUAAUAUAGACAUCAGUAGAUUUCAUGGAGGACUGUCUACAUGGGAAGGACUAUGGCAGACACCACAACAUCCACCCGGGGUGGUGGUGGUGGUGGUGCAAUGGUUCGGGUGGUGGCGUUAAGGUAAUAGAGUCAGAGGAGAAAACAGAUCUGAUGUUGCAAGGUGUGGUGGAGGCGGUGGUGGAAGAUAAAACAAAACAAAAAGAAACUAAAUCAGCAAAAAGACUAGUAGUAGUGGUGGUGGUAGUGGUAGUUGUAGAGGCGGUGGUGGUAGUAGUAGUAGUAGAGGUGGUGGUCGUGGUAGUAGUUGUAGAGGUGGUGGUGGUGGUAGUAGUUGUAGAGGUGGUGGGUAGUAGUAGUUGUAGUGGUGGUGGUGGUAGUGGUGGUGGUGGUAGUAGUUGUAGAGGUGGUGGUAGUAGUGGUGGUGGUGGUAGUAGUUGUAGAGGUGGUGGUAGUAGUAGUAGUGGUGGUGGUGGUAGUAGUUGUAGAGGUGGUGGUGGUAGUAGUAGUAGUAGAGGUGGUGGUAGUAGUGGUGGUGGUGGUAGUAGU